rnacentral:rRNA from 1 species
UACGUAGGGGGCUAGCGUUGUCCGGAUUUAUUGGGCGUAAAGAGCGUGUAGGCGGCCAGGUAGGUCAGCUGUGAAAACUCGAGGCUCAACCUCGAGACGUCGGUUGAAACCACCUGGCUAGAGUCCGGAAGAGGAGAGUGGAAUUCCUGGUGUAGCGGUGAAAUGCGCAGAUAUCAGGAAGAACACCCGUGGCGAAGGCGGCUCUCUGGGACGGUACUGACGCUGAGACGCGAAAGCGUGGGGAGCGAACAGG